AAUGAACGCUGGCGGCGUGCCUAACACAUGCAAGUCGUGCGCGAAAGGGGCUUCGGCCCUGAGUAGAGCGGCGAACGGGUGAGUAACACGUGGGUGACCUGCCUGGGGGUGGGGGAUAACCAGGGGAAACUCGGGUUAGUACCGCUUACGUUCCCGGAGCUCCGGAUCCGGGAGGAAAGGUGGGCUCUGCUUGCAAGCCUCCUCCCCCGGGGGGGCCCGCGGCUAAUGAGCUAGUUGGUGGGGUAACGGCCCACCAAGGCGACGCUAAGUAGCCGGCCUGAGAGGGUGAUCGGCCCCACUGGAACUGAGACACGGUCCAGACUCCUACGGGAGGGAGCAGUGGGGAAUAUUGGUCAAUGGGGGCAACCCUGAUCCAGCAACGCCGCGUGGGGGAUGAAGGUCUUCGGAUUGUAAACCCCUGUUAAGAGGGACGAAGGUUUUCGGGCGAACAGUCCGGAAGCUUGACGGUACCUCUAGAGGAAGCCCCGGCUAACUCUGUGCCAGCAGCCGCGGUAACAC
rnacentral:rRNA from 1 species